AUGACUCAGUCACCAGAAUCCCUGGCAGUGGCUCCAGGAGACAGAGUCACGAUCAACCUCAAAGCCAGUUCCAAUGCUUAUAGCAACAUGGCUUGUUACCAGCAGAAUUCAGGACAAACUCCUAAGCUGCUCAUCCAGAGAGCUUCCACCCGUCCCUCUGGGGUCCCAAACCAGUUCAGUGACAGUAGGUCUGGCACUGACUUCACAUUCACCAUCAGCUGUGUUGAAAACGAUGCUGCUGCAGAUUACUACUUUCAGCAUUUCUAUGACAGUGGAUCCAAUGGGGAUAUCCUUGUGACUCAGACGCCCGAAUUCCUGUCAGUGUCACCAGGAGACACGGUCACUAUCAACUGCAAAACCAGUUCCAGCGCUAGUAGCUACAUGGCUUUGUAUCAGCAGAAACCAGGACAAGCUCCUAAACUUCUUAUCUAUAGCACUAACUCUCGUCCCUCUGGGAUCCCAGACCGGUUCACUGGCAGCGGCUCUGGCACUGACUUCACUUUUAAAAUCAGCAGGGUUGAAGCAGAUGACGCUGGAGAUUAUUACUGUCAGCAGCAUUACAGCACCCCUCUCACACAGUGA